rnacentral:rRNA from 1 species
GACGAACGCUGGCGGCGCGCUUAACACAUGCAAGUCGAGCGAAGCGGCGGACGGGUGAGUAACACGUGAGUAACCUGCCUUAGCAAUUGGGAUAGCCUCGGGAAACCGGGAUUAAUACCAAAUGGUAUAAGAUGGACUCGCGUCCCAUUAGCUAGUUGGUGAGGUAACGGCCCACCAAGGCGACGAUGGGUAGCCGGCCUGAGAGGGUGAACGGCCACAUUGGAACUGAGAAACGGUCCAAGCUCUACGGGAGGCAGCAGUGGGGGAUAUUGCACAAUGGGCGAAAGCCUGAUGCAGCGACGCCGCGUGGGGGAUGAAGGCUUUCGGGUUGUAAACCUCUUUCGCUAUCGAACGGGUAGGUGGAGAAGAAGCGCCGGCUAACUACGUGCCAGCAGCCGCGGUAAUAC